GGAUUCCCCUAGUAACUGCGAGUGAAGCGGGAAAAGCUCAAAUUUAAAAUCUGGCGGUCUUCGAUCGUCCGAGUUGUAGUCUGGAGAAGCGUCUUCCGCGCUGGACCGUGUACAAGUCUCUUGGAACAGAGCGUCGUAGAGGGUGAGAAUCCCGUCUUUGACACGGACUACCAGUGCUUUGUGAUGCGCUCUCAAAGAGUCGAGUUGUUUGGGAAUGCAGCUCAAAAUGGGUGGUAAAUUCCAUCUAAAGCUAAAUAUUGGCGAGAGACCGAUAGCGAACAAGUACCGUGAGGGAAAGAUGAAAAGCACUUUGGAAAGAGAGUUAAACAGUACGUGAAAUUGCUGAAAGGGAAACGAUUGAAGUCAGUCGCGUCGUCUAGAACUCAACCUUGCCUCGGCUCGGUGCAUUUUCUAGUUGACGGGCCAGCAUCAGUUUUGACCGUCGGAAAAAGGUCCUCGGAAUGUGGCACCUUCGGGUGUGUUAUAGCCUUGGGUCGUAUACGACGGUUGGGACUGAGGACCGCAGCACGCCUUUAUGGCCGGGGUUCGCCCACGUACGUGCUUAGGAUGCUGGCGUAAUGGCUUUAAACGACCCGUCUUGAAACACGGACCAAGGAGUCUAACAUGCCUGCGAGUGUUUGGGUGGUAAACCCGAGCGCGUAACGAAAGUGAAAGUUGGGAUCCCUGUCGUGGGGAGCACCGACGCCCACACCAGACCUUCUGUGACGGAUGUGCGGUUGAGCAUGUAUGUUGGGACCCGAAAGAUGGUGAACUAUGCCUGAAUAGGGUGAAGCCAGAGGAAACUCUGGUGGAGCUCGUAGCGAUUCUGACGUGCAAAUCGAUCGUCAAAUUUGGGUAUAGGGGCGAAAGACUAAUCGAACCAUCUAGUAGCUGGUCU
rnacentral:rRNA from 1 species